GGCACGAUGGCGGAGUGGUUAACGCGCUGCCCUGCUAAGGCAGUUCCCUCGGGAGCGCAGGUUCGAAUCCUGCUCGUGUCG
rnacentral:tRNA from 1 species